GCACUCCUUCCCCCCCCGCGCCGGCUGUAUCUUUACCUCGUCCUGGCCAUCCUGGCCCUGGAACUGCUCUGUUCCCUGACCUGUCUGCUCAUCUACACAGUGAAAAUUCGAAAAUUUAAUAAAGCCAAACCACAGCCGGAUGUACUUGAAGAGGAAAAAAUCUAUGCUUACCCCAGCAAUAUCACCUCGGAGACUGGAUUCAGGACCGUCUCAAGCCUGGAAGACAUCGUCGAAAAGCAGGGAGACGUCAUCGCCCACCUGAAGCGACACAACGCCCUGCUGAGUAAGCGGUUGCUGACGUUCACUUCCUCCGGGGACUCUCCGCCCAGUAGAGCAUGAGGGCCUGGCCAGGCCAGCGGCUGCAGAGGGAGCGGGGCCCACUGACCACCUGACAAGCCGGCCCAGCGGGUGGCAGUUUGGGCCGGAUGCCACUGGAUGCCACUGAUGGUUCUUAUUUGAAACCUGAAUUGUGUUCUCCUUGUGGGGCUGUUGAGCAGGUGGGACUCGUGGGUCACCUGAAAGGUGCUUCACAGAGCCUGGAUGCUCCAAUGCUCCGGGAGGACGUCUCUUUUUGCACAUUUUGAAGUCCUUUACCGUCUGGCUCAUCCGAGGAUCAGAGGUAUGAUUAAGCCUGGUCUCAAGCAGUGCUGCUUCCGCAGGCCGUAGAGCCCUGGAAUGACUUGGCUGCUUAUAUGGAGGAGAUUGACAGGAUCAUCUGUUUUAAACAAGGGUUUGAUCAAAUAAGUUCUUUCCACUCUUAAACUGAUGGGAGGAGUCAUUAUUUUUUGUGGUUAAAUAAUGUUUUCUUUGCCCUGCGGAGCCUCACCAUGUACCCGACCUGCUUGUGUGCUGUGGGAUUACAGCUUGGCCCUGUAGCUCUUAUGAAGAAUUUCCUCCCCAUAGGGCCUGUCUCACUAGGUGAUUCACUAUGCAAACACCUACAGCUUUUCAUUCUCCACAAAUAAGAGAAUCAAGAUCGCUCGGACCAGGGUCAGACUGACCAAUGCUGCCCGUUGUAUCAGCAGCACCUUCCAUUGGCAACAGAAAUACCCGAGAGAAAACCUGAGAACUUUCCCUUUUUUUUUUUUCUUUCCCUUUAUUUUAAUCCUUCUUCAAGGAGUUGCCAUGUGCUUCAGUAUUGACUAUCCCUUGAUUAGAUCAAGAAAGGUAGGUUCAGUGGCUCUAAGAGGGUCUAAAAAGGAAAAAUUCUACUUUAUUACUUUAUUUAUUUAAGUAAUCUCUAUGCCCAAUGUGGGGCUCGAACUUGACCCAGGGAUCAAGAGUCACGCACCCUUCCAGCCGAGCCAGCCAGUCCCCCCUUGGAGUAUACUUUCAAAUUAUGAGAAUAAAUUGUCAUAUAAACUUAUAUAGAUACUAAUUAUAUCUAA